rnacentral:rRNA from 1 species
UACCUACGGGGGGCAGCAGUAGGGAAUAUUGCUCAAUGGGGGAAACCCUGAAGCAGCAACGCCGCGUGGAGGAGGAAGGUUUUCGGAUUGUAAACUCAUUUUGUUAGAGAAGAGAAUGACGGUAUCUAACGAAUAAGCACCGGCUAACUCCGUGCCAGCAGAGGCGGUAAUACGGAGGGGGCAAGCGUUACUCGGGAUCACUGGGCGUAAAGAGCGCGUAGGCGGGUGAGCAAGUCAGAUG